GAAACUUGUAGCAGCACCUGCUUCUUAAGUGCUCGCUUAAAGAGUUUCUAAAAUGUUCCCUUCUCUGCCCCUGAACCUGUUCCUGAACGUGCUCCUGAAUGAUAGUCCUGAUACUAGCAACUAAGAUCCAUGUAGCUGGCACUACAAACCCAGUAUACCUUUAGAUUAUUUCCUUUUAAAGAGUUCUGAUCAAACUCAAGUGAUUAUAUAAUUGCCAGAUACUUCUAUCAUUUGGAUAACAUGCAGUAGCUUGUUUCUCUUUUGAAGGUCCUGAUAGGUUUCAAAGUAGAGGAACUGAGGAUGUC
rnacentral:lncRNA from 1 species